CCUACGUGAGACUGCAGUGAGGAAUAUUGGUCAAUGGGCGGAAGCCUGAACCAGCCAAGUCGCGUGAGGGAAUAAGGCCCUACGGGUCGUAAACCUCUUUUGCCGGGGAGCAAGGGCCGGGACGAGUCCCGGUCCGGAGAGUACCCGGAGAAAAAGCAUCGACUAACUCCGUGCCAGCAGCCGCGGUAAUACGGAGGAUGCGAGCGUUAUCCGGAUUUAGUGGGUUUAAGGGGUGCGUAGGCGGGCUUUUAAGUCAGCGGUAAAAAUUCGGGGCUCAACCCCGUCCGGCCGUUGAAACUGGGGGCUGUGAGUGGGCGAGAAGAAGGCGGAAUGCGUGGGGUAGCGGUGAAAUACAUAGAU
rnacentral:rRNA from 1 species